rnacentral:rRNA from 1 species
GACGAAUGCUGGCUGCGUGCUUAACACAUGCAAGUCGAACGGUGAAGGGGAGCUUGCUCCCCGGAUCAGUGGCGAACGGGUGAGUAACACGUGGGCAACCUGCCCCUCACUCUGGGAUAACUCCGGGAAACCGGGGCUAAUACCGGAUACGACCGGGAGCGACAUCGCUCCUGGUGGAAAGAACUUCGGUGAGGGAUGGGCCCGCGGCCUAUCAGCUAGUUGGUGGGGUAACGGCCCACCAAGGCGACGACGGGUAGCCGGCCUGAGAGGGCGACCGGCCACACUGGGACUGAGACACGGCUCAGACUCCUACGGGAGGCAGCAGUGGGGAAUAUUGCGCAAUGGGCGAAAGCCUGACGCAGCGACGCAGCGUGAGGGACGAAGGCCUUCGGGUUGUAAACCUUUUUCAGCGGGGACGAAGCGAAAGUGACGGUACCCGCAGAAGAAGCACCGGCUAACUACGUGCCAGCAGCCGCAGUAA